CCUACGGGUGGCAGCAGUGAGGAAUAUUGGUCAAUGGGCGCGAGCCUGAACCAGCCAAGUCGCGUGAGGGAGGACGGCCCUACGGGUUGUAAACCUCUUUUGCCGGGGAGCAACGGGCGUCACGUGUGGCGCCACUGAGAGUACCCGGAGAAAAAGCAUCGGCUAAUUCCGUGCCAGCAGCCGCGGUAAUACGUAGGUGGCAAGCGUUAUCCGGAUUUACUGGGUGUAAAGGGCGUGUAGGCGGGGAAGCAAGUCAGAUGUGAAAACCACGGGCUCAACCUGUGGCCUGCAUUUGAAACUGUUGUUCUUGAGUGCUGGAGAGGCAAUCGGAAUUCCGUGUGUAGCGGUGAAAUGCGUAGAUAUACGGAGGAACACCAGUGGCGAAGGCGGAUUGCUGGACAGUAACUGACGCUGAGGCGCGAAAGCGUGGGGAGCAAACAGGAUUAGAUACCCGUGUAGUC
rnacentral:rRNA from 1 species